rnacentral:rRNA from 1 species
AAUCAACGCUGGCGGCGUGCCUAAUACAUGCAAGUCGAACGCGAGAGGGGCUUCGGCCCCAAUUGAGUGGCAAACGGGUGAGUAACACGUGGGUGAUCUACCUUCGAGUGGGGGAUAACGUUUCGAAAGGAACGCUAAUACCGCAUAACAUCCUGUCUUUAGACAGAUGGAGAUCAAAGCCGGGACCGCAAGGCCUGGCGCUUGAAGAGGAGCCCGCGCCCGAUUAGCAGUUGGUGAGGUAACGGCUCACCAAGGCGACGAUCGGUAGCCGGCCUGAGA